rnacentral:rRNA from 1 species
CCUACGGGAGGCAGCAGUGAGGAAUAUUGGUCAAUGGACGAGAGUCUGAACCAGCCAAGUAGCGUGAAGGAUGACUGCCCUAUGGGUUGUAAACUUCUUUUAUAUGGGAAUAAAAUGCUCUACGUGUGCGACUUUGCAUGUACCAUAUGAAUAAGGAUCGGCUAACUCCGUGCCAGCAGCCGCGGUAAUACGGAGGAUCCGAGCGUUAUCCGGAUUUAUUGGGUUUAAAGGGAGCGUAGGUGGAUUGUUAAGUCAGUUGUGAAAGUUUGCGGCUCAACCGUAAAAUUGCAGUUGAAACUGGCAGUCUUGAGUACAGUAGAGGUGGGCGGAAUUCGUGGUGUAGCGGUGAAAUGCUUAGAUAUCACGAAGAACUCCGAUUGCGAAGGCAGCUCGCUGGACUGCAACUGACACUGAGGCUCGAAAGUGUGGGUAUCAAACAGGAUUAGAUACCCGGGUAGUC